GGAUCAAAUUGUUGGUCGUGCCUCGGUACGCACUGGGAUUAUUGGUUCCUACCUUCUGAAGAACCGCGAUGUCAUUAAUUUGGUGUCGUGGGGAAUCAGGACUGUUACUUUGAAAAAAUUAGAGUGUUUAAAGCAGGCUCACGCUUGAAUACAUUAGCAUGGAAUAACGGAAUAGGACAUUUGAUUCUAUUUUGUUGGUUUCUAGGAUCGACGUA
rnacentral:rRNA from 1 species